CAUGAAUCCGUAAGUAACACACAGUGUUGGUGUAACCCUGCACAUGAAUCCGUAAGUAACACACAGUGUUGGUGUAACCCUGCACAUAAAAAGAAGAGCAGUGAGACCACCAGACCACCACCAUUGUCUGCUCAUCAUGGGAGUCAUGACUGCAUCGUUUCUUCUCUGCAUCCUUCUCAUCUUCCUGGGGACUGAGGUGACUGGGUUGUCGCAAGGGCCGGCUCAGAAGCGGUGUCCAAAUGGGUUUUCUCGAGCCAAGGAGUUUGGGAAGUUUUACUACCGUUUCAACUCUACUUUGAAGACAAGGAAGGAAGCACAGGUGGAACAGGCUACGAUGACAUCAGCUGUUCUGACCAGGGUACCGCCUUUUUUCUCUGCCAGAUCUUUACUGGACACAGAGGGUACUACUACUAUCGCAGUUUUGAUUUGAUAUCUUGAAAGGUUAUGUAAUGGCUACAGAUACAUAAAAAUUGCCUUUUAAUUAAUUGAAUCGGAAUUGUCGCUAUAGUAUUAUGGAAACAAGCUUUAAGCUACAGUACCAACCAUUUAGAUACAUACAAAACAAUGAUACUCAAUACAUAAAGGACAAAUUGUUAUAACUGUUAUAUCUGAAAUAUCUAUGUGGAAUUGGUGGAAUUGUGUUCUGUAACAUCCCUCAGUGCCU
rnacentral:lncRNA from 1 species